AUGUCAUCCAGAAACAGGAAGUAUCCAUCAGGUAGUGAUAAAAGGAAAACAAAGAAACUUGUGGAUAAAUUGGUACAAUCACAAGGCAGUGAUAUUCAUAAAUUUCUCAAGAGUAAUAUUGAUGCUUCCGCUGCUUCGAUAAACCGAGAUGAUGAGUUGGUGAUGGUUGUCAUAGAGGAAGAGAAAGAGCAACCAACUAAUGAGAAUUCGGAAUCGGAUCAGGAAAAAGAAAAGGCUGACCCCAUAUUAUUGGAUGACAUUGACAUCACCCCCAUCAUAAGUGAUUUUAGAUGCAUUUAA
rnacentral:rRNA from 1 species